GUUAGCCCCGCCUCGGGGAGUACGGCCGCAAGGCUAAAACUCAAAGAAAUUGACGGGGCCCGCACAAGCGGCGGAGCAUGCGGAUUAAUUCGAUGCAACGCGAAGAACCUUACCAAGGCUUGACAUAUACUGGACCGCAUCAGAGAUGGUGUUUCCCUUCGGGGCUGGUAUACAGGUGGUGCACGGUUGUCGUCAGCUCGUGUCGUGAGAUGUUGGGUUAAGUCCCGCAACGAGCGCAACCCCUAUCUUAUGUUGCCAGCACUUCGGGUGGGAACUCAUGAGAGACUGCCGCAGACAAUGCGGAGGAAGGCGGGGAUGACGUCAAAUCAUCAUGCCCCUUAUGACCUGGGCUACACACGUACUACAAUGGGAGUUAAUAGACGGAAGCAAUACCGCGAGGUGGAGCAAACCCGAGAAACACUCUCUCAGUUCGGAUCGUAGGCUGCAACUCGCCUACGUGAAGUCGGAAUCGCUAGUAAUCGCAGGUCAGCAUACUGCGGUGAAUACGUUCCCGGUCGACGCGGCCG
rnacentral:rRNA from 1 species